rnacentral:rRNA from 1 species
GUAUAUGAUCUAAAUACUCUAAAGGCACCAGAUCCUGUGUGAUCACUGAAAUUAAACAAGGUCAUUCCUGAUUAGUACUUGGGUGGGAUACUACAAAUGAAUACCAGGUGCUGUAGGCU